UUGUGGAUGCAGGAAGUCUAC
rnacentral:miRNA from 1 species